GAAGUUUAGGAUAAUAAGUCCAAGAGCCUUCAAAGCUCUAAGUAAGUUCCACAACUUAACUUCUG
rnacentral:tRNA from 1 species